CAGUAGCCGCGGUAAUACGUAGGGUGCAAGCGUUAAUCGGAAUUACUGGGCGUAAAGCGUGCGCAGGCGGUUCGCUAAGACAUAUGUGAAAUCCCCGGGCUUAACCUGGGAACUGCAUUUGUGACUGGCGGGCUAGAGUAUGGCAGAGGGGGGUAGAAUUCCACGUGUAGCAGUGAAAUGCGUAGAGAUGUGGAGGAAUACCGAUGGCGAAGGCAGCCAUCUGGGACAACACUGACGCUGAGGCACGAAAGCGUGGGGAGCAAACAGGAUUAGAUACCCCUGUAGUCCCUGUCUCUUAUAC
rnacentral:rRNA from 1 species